rnacentral:rRNA from 1 species
GACGAACGCUGGCGGCGUGCCUAAUACAUGCAAGUAGAACGCACAGUUUAUACCGUAGCUUGCUACACCAUAAACUGUGAGUUGCGAACGGGUGAGUAACGCGUAGGUAACCUGCCUGGUAGCGGGGGAUAACUAUUGGAAACGAUAGCUAAUACCGCAUAAUAUUGAUUAUUGCAUGAUAAUUGAUUGAAAGAUGCUAUUGCAUCACUACCAGAUGGACCUGCGUUGUAUUAGCUAGUAGGUGAGGUAACGGCUCACCUAGGCGACGAUACAUAGCCGACCUUAGAGGGUGAUCGGCCACACUGGGACUGAGACACGGCCCAGACUCCUACGGGAGGCAGCAGUAGGGAAUCUUCGGCAAUGGACGAAAGUCUGACCGAGCAACGCCGCGUGAGUGAAGAAGGUUUUCGGAUCGUAAAGCUCUGUUGUAAGAGAAGAACGGGUGUGAGAGUGGAAAGUUCACACUGUGACGGUAUCUUACCAGAAAGGGACGGCUAACUACGUG